rnacentral:rRNA from 1 species
ANCCUGACGCAGCNCGCCGCGUGGGGGAUGAAUGCCUUCGGGUUGUAAACCCCUUUCAGCAGGGACGAAAUUGACGGUACCUGCAGAAGAAGGUCCGGCCAACUACGUGCCAGCAGCCGCGGUAAUACGUAGGGACCAAGCGUUGUCCGGAAUUAUUGGGCGUAAAGAGCUCGUAGGCGGUUCAGUAAGUCGGGUGUGAAAACUCAAGGCUCAACCUUGAGACGCCACUCGAUACUGCUGUGACUUGAGUCCGGUAGAGGAGUGUGGAAUUCCUGGUGUAGCGGUGAAAUGCGCAGAUAUCAGGAGGAACACCAGCGGCGAAGGCGGCACUCUGGGCCGGUACUGACGCUGAGGAGCGAAAGCAUGGGGAGCAAACAGGAUUAGAUACCCUGGUAGUCCAUGCCGUAAACGUUGGGCACUAGGUAUGGGACCAUAUCAACGGGUUCCGUGCCGUAGCUAACGCAUUAAGUGCCCCGCCUGGGGGAGUACGGA